AUGACAGUGGCUGGGACUUCCACUGUGCUGGAGGGACUGCCUCAGGGGGUCAGGUGCACAGUGUCUGUAGCAGCCGUCACCUCUGAGGGUGUGCAGGCCUGGAGUGAACCGAAGUCGGUUUUUAGCCAUGCCUCAGGUUCCUUACAGAACAGCCUAAACCCAAUGCAGAGCAGACAGAGACCGGCUAUUCCCUUGUGCACUUCACUCAGGUAUCUCAAGAGUUCCUACAUGCUAGCUCUACUCAAUGCUAGCUCUAUCAGCACAUGAGUAACAACAUGUAGGUGAUGAUAUACGUAUUCUAUAGUUUAUUUGUAUACAUUACCCUUUGAAAAUAAGAUUUUGCCUUUUUAAACUUGUUAAGCUAAGAGAGUUGUCGGACUGAGACUGAGGUUCUUUCCCACUUUUUCCUCAGCUCCACCCUCAGAAUGAUGAGGAAGAGACCCUAGCCUAGACACAGACUUAGCACCACAAAGGCACCGUGCAACAACGGAUCUUAUGUUCAGACAUAUCUGUGAUGGAAUCUAAAAGAGCACGCCAAACUUGAAGAACGGACCAGAAGACGCAGUCAGGAUUUCUGGAGUUUAUUUCCGCGUGGAGACCUCCUCUAAGCGCGUUGCUCAGCAAAAAUAACACGAGUAAAAGGAAUGGCCACCAGUUACUUUGGGCGGCAGUUCCUGAAACAGAUGAGUGUUGAUGAGCACCGAGUUUGGCUCUUGGGUAGGGAUGGGAAUCUUGUUAAGAACCGGUUCCCAGUGGACCGAUUCCUUGGAAUCGUUAGCCAAAGUCCUUUACGAUUCCGCUAUCGAUGUAGGUGCUCUUUGCGCAUGCACGAUGACCUCACUCGCACGCAGCUUUGUUUUGUUUAGACUGCAGCCAACAUGGCGUCUAGGCAGAAGCGUGGUUAUAUUUCACGCGAAAAGAUGACCACAGGGCCACUUGCAAUGCUUGCAAAACGUCUAUUUCUAUUUGUAUAAAAGAAAAUGAAUGUAAAUAAACCCGUUUGUACUCUUUAUUGGUUUUUUUCC
rnacentral:lncRNA from 1 species